UCCUGGUUAGCUUAGUUGGUAGAGCGCUUCACUAGAAAUGGAGAGGUCCCAGGUUCGGCCCAAGGACCAGGCG
rfam:Ixodes scapularis strain Wikel colony gcontig_1108379657306, whole genome shotgun sequence.